rnacentral:rRNA from 1 species
UACGAAGGGGGGCUAGCGUUGUUCGGAAUUACUGGGCGUAAAGCGCACGUAGGCGGAUCGAUCAGUCAGGGGGUGGAAUCCCAGAGCUCAACUCUGGAACUGCCUUUGAUACUGUCGAUCUAGAGUAUGGAAGAGGUGAGUGGAAUUCCGAGUGUAGAGGUGAAAUUCGUAGAUAUUCGGAGGAACACCAGUGGCGAAGGCGGCUCACUGGUCCAUUACUGACGCUGAGGUGCGAAAGCGUGGGGAGCAAACAAGG